GCUGUGCUUUCACCGAGUCAAUACAGGGAAGCGGCAGCACGCUUUGCCCCCUCCUACCAGGAUGCCUGCCCACGUGCCUGCCUGCCCACCCGGGACACUGCGUGACAGUGGACACGCCCUGCUCCUCCUGUUCAUCGGUCGCUCAUUCUGGGGAAAGUCGCCUGCCGUUUGAAACUGUGGAAACCUGCCAAGAGGCCCAUGAGGUGGCCUGAGGGGGCUGGUGGAGACAAUAAAGAAUGGAUUUAAGUCCUCCACCGGGGGCACCCUUGGGAGACCACAGGGAGACAGGGCGGUCCUGCGGUGCGCACACCACGUUGGGGUAACAAAACCUUGCAGCUUGGCACCCGCCGCUUCCCGAAAGACAGGCGAGUUCUGUGCGGUGCCGGGCAACGGUGUACUUCGCA